rnacentral:rRNA from 1 species
UCUGGCGUUGACUCCAAUUGAACGCAGGCUUCACCCUUGUGGUGCUCCCCCGCCAAUUCCUUUAAGUUUCAUACAUUGCGUACGUACUUCCCAGGCGGCAGACUUAACGGCUUCCCUGCGGCACUGCAUUGGCCACAAGCCAAUGCAUCACCGAGUCUGCAUCGUUUACAGCUGGGACUACCCGGGUAUCUAAUCCGGUUUGCUCCCCCAGCUUUCAUCCCUCACCGUCGAACGUGUUCUGGUACACCGCCUUCGCCACAGGUGGUCUUCAAUAGAUCAAAGGAUUUUACCCCUUCCUAUCGAGUACCGUGUACCUCUCCCACUCCCUAGCUGCACAGUAUUUUCGGCGGCCUAUACGUUAAGCGCAUAGAUUUAACCGAAAACUUAUGCAACCGGCUACGGAUGCUUUAGGCCCAAUAAACCUCCUGACCACUCGAGGUGCUGGUUUUACCGCGGCGGCUGACACCAGAACUUGCCCACCCCUUAUUCACCAGUGAUUCUACAACUGACAAAAGACUCCUUUAGCAGGAGACACUCGGAUUAACCUUGUCGUGCUUUCGCACAUUGCAAAGGUUUCUCGCCUGCUGCGCCCCAUAGGGCCUGGGUCCGUGUCUCAGUACCCA